rnacentral:lncRNA from 1 species
CAAAAAGAUAAAAGGAAAAAGGAAAUUAAAAAAGGACUGACAAAAAACUCUCUCACCUGAUACCAUUCCUUCUCUCUCGUAAUAACCCUCUCUCUCUGACUUCAAAAAGGCAACGAAAAAAAGAAAAAAAAUAAAUUGAGAGGACUCUUCCUCUUAUUCGGAAUCUUAUCACUCUUCACCAUCGGACCGCCUUCAACAACCUCUGUCGUCGAAAACCUCACUGCCAUAAUCGUGCCACCCUUCACCCUCCUUCAAACUCUCCGUCGGCGAAAAACAGAAACACCGCGAGCCCCUUUUUCAACAUCGUCCAAACCCUUCGUCUUCGUUACAACCAUACACCGCCGUCUCCACCAUCCAAAUCCCAUCUCCGUCUUCACUCAACUCACAACCGCAACCAACAAACAACACCAUGAAACCGUUUUUGCGAAACGAAACUCAACGAAUCUCCUUCCUCACGAAAUCACCGUCGCCACCACCGACAUCUCACGGCUAUUCACAAUAAACCCUCACGACCGCCUCCGCUCCUCUCCCACACUUCCUUCGUGGCCACCGCGAAAGCCACCACGCGUCUUCUCCUUCACAUUCACGGAUGUCUUCUCCUUCCGAUGCCAGAUUCAAACGCAACACAAACAAACAACCAGCCGCUCUACAGCAAUAAGAGGAGCAUAGCACCAAAGGAAAUAACGCAGAAGGAUGGGUCUAGCCGCACUCCGUUUCCGUUAUAAUUUCAAGUUCAUUUCCGACGAACUCACAGUACUUCCAAUCACCCCAAGGUCGUCGAACCCGUAGGUAUAUCACUAUAAAUCUCAUGUUGAUUGGUUUAUUAUUUUUUUUGUUUUUUCCAAUUGGAGUAAGGUAGAGAUUAAAUCGAGGAUGCAAGGGUUUGUUUCAUCGGUCUUAAAGAUGAAAAAUAAUGUUCUGCAUUUUUAAAGAGCGAAAGAAAGCAUAGUGGAAAUUUCAAACUUAUUAUGAGCCUUGAUUUUCCUAAUGGUAAUGUAAAAGUUAAACUGGAUUUUUACGUUUUGUUACUUGUUUGUUUGACUGAACUUUUUUUUUAUAAUUAUUAUUACAUGACAAUAGAAUUAGUAUUUUGGUUGUAGAAAGAGUUGUCUGCAUAUAAUUCAUUAUGGUCUUGGUUUUCUUUUUAUCCAGGAAAGUUUUAGAUUCGAUCGAUAAUGCUUAAUAGUAUACAUUGAAUUCUUUCUUAAAUCACGUUUGGAAGGGUCCUGCAACUCUUUUUAUUUUUUUCAAACUUGGACAUCAUUGGUUUUAAAUGCUACUUUGUUUUAAUUAAUUGUAUUAGUAUCCCUUGUUCUAACUGAUUUAUUAGUUCACAACGUUACAACCAUUUUUCUCAAAUAUAUGGUUGGUUCUACUAUUAAAAUUUAAAUUAGAUUACUAAUUGCCUAAUGGAUUUUAUAUUGUAUAUAUAUAAAUCUGAUCCAAUCAUAUGGUGUUGUUGUUAACAUUCAGUUAAUAUGUUGUGUAUAACCUUGGCUGGUUUCUAUGUGGUUUCAAUUCCAUUAUGAUGAAGUUGGAAUUUCGACUUGCAAGUACGAGAUUUUUGAUGUUUUGAGCACAUUGUAUCCACCUUGUUUUAGUCACUUUUAAAUCAAAUUUGUUUUAAUUGAAUUGAUUGAUUAAUACAAAUUUUGUUUAAAUUACUUGGUUGUGAUGAUCGAUUACCUUGGAAAUUUUAGUUAAUCAAAUGAUUUUGAUUUUGAAUUUUGAUUGGGUCAAUUAGGUAGUUUGUUUAAAUUCCAAUCAAAUAACUUUAUUAAUUAAAUAUUGACCAAAUUAUUUUAUCACGAUGUCAACCUCUUCCAAACUCGAAUUGAUUUCAAUCUUAUCAAUUCGAAAUCAUUCACCCAUUCAAUAAAAACAUAAUUCUCGAUUCAAAGUCGAGCCCAUUUUUAAAUACCCUUGUAAGUCGAUAGCUUUUCGCAUCGCCAUCAACCUCACAUAGCUUUCUCUUGGGCUUUCUUAUUAUGAGACCUAGUCGAUUGUUAAUUGAUCGAUUAGAUGAUUGAUUCACUAAAUAAAAUCCACUUUAUUCACAAAACACAAACUUAAAACCUCGAUCCACCAUCAAGUAUUUCUAUUCAAAUUAUUAAGAUGCCCAAUCACAAUCAAAUACCAUUUCAUUUGGAAAUGAAAAGGGGGAUGGCUUUGAGUUUUCAAUUCCUUUCCUCGAUUAUUUGAAUAUGAGUUCUCUUAUUCGGUGAGUCAAAUAGUCGUCACUUCCAUCCACCUAAGCACAAACGAAUCGAAUCAUUUUUAUAAUAAGAAACAAAAAGGGAGAUGACUUUGAGUUUUCAAUUUUUUUCUCCUCGAUUAUUUGAAUACAAGUUCUCUUACUUGGUUAGUCAAAUAAUUAUCGUUCCUCUGCAAGCUUCCAAACCCCGAUUAAAUCAAAUUAUUUUCAUAAUAAGUUAAAUGAAAAGGGAGUUGACUUUAAGUUUUCAACUUCUCCUCAAUUGUUUGAAUACGAGUUCUCUUACUUGGUCAAUCGAACAAUUUUCAUUUUUCCACCAACAUAUAAGUUAAUCAAAUCAUUUCAUAAUAAACUAUACAAAAAUGGAGAUGGUCUUGAGUCUUUAAUUCCUCUUCUCAAAUGCUUGGAUAUGAGUUGUCUUACUCACCCAUUCAAGUACUUUGUCGUCUAUUCCAAAAUACAUCAACCAUACGCAAACCUAUUUUCAUAAUCACUCAGAUGAAAAAGAAAAUGGUCUAGAUUCUUCUAUUCCCUUUCUCGACUAUUAGGAUGCGAGUUGUCUUACUCGACUAUCCGAGUAUUCGUCAUCCAAUCAAAAACACCUUAAUCAUCAUUAAAAUCCUUUCACAAUUAAGGAUGAAAAAGAAAGCGGUCUAGAGUCUUCUAUUCCCUUUCCCGAUUAUUAGGAUACGAGUUGUCUUACUCGGCCAUCCGAGUAAUCAUCAUCCAACCAAAAAUAUCUUAACACAUCAAACUUAUCUUUCUCACCCUCGUGCGAUCGAAACCAGUCAAACAAAACAUUAAACACAUCAAUUCAACUCGUCACCCCCCGCGUGACCAAAACCCUUCUUUCAAAAAGAACACUGUCAAUCCUUUCUAAUGCGCACAACAAAUUAGUGCUAGAGCCUCCACCGAGAGUAGACAAGUCAAUGUUUAGCCUUUAGAACGCCGACCUACACAUUCGUUCAUAAAACAAAACACAUCAAUUAUUUGUAGUUCCCCGAACUACAAAUGCUCUGAUUUCCUUAUUACACCAUAAGGAUACGUAGGCGGGAGAUUGCUAUAUCUUCGCGAGCACACUAAUAAAAAACCUCCCUUUUCUCCCUUUUGAGGUCUUCAUCCAUAUAUAUUAUCAACUCUAAUUACUCGAAGAAAACAAACAACGCAAGUUAACACUCAAAUCUCAAAAUUGAACUAAAAGGUUCCCGUUGAGAACAAUGGACGUGAGGGGUGCUGAUACCUUCCCCUUGCGUAAUCCACUCCCGAACCCGAAUAUGGUUGCGACGACCAUUAUUCUAUUUUUCAAAGGUUUUAUCAAUAUUUUCCUAUUCCUUCAUUGGGAUAAAUAAAGUUCGGUGGUGACUCUGUUCGAACUAACAUUUUUCCACGUCCAUCGCGAGGGAUCACAUUUUUUCCGAGGUGCGAAAGCUGGCGACUCUGCUGGGGACAUGCUCCAAGCAAGAGAGAGUGAAGCCUAACUUUGUUUAAUUUUUGUAUUGGGUGUUAACCUUGUUUGUUUGAUUUUUUAUUCUGUUAUUAUUUUGUUGUAAUUAUUAUGUUGUGGUUUAUUUCCUAUGAUACUAUUGGGGUUCUCUGAUUGUUGGUACUUUGUGAGAUAGGCUUUCUACCCGAGUCUGAGAAAAACCAUAAGAUUAAGUUGGUGGUUGCGUAGUGGACGCCCACAAGGAGUCUUCCUUGUUGGGAAGAUACGAAGACCCCGCCUAGAGGAGAUUCUCUUGAGAUAUUAUUGUCCGACAAGCCUUCGUCACGGCGAUGGUGUUUCAAGUUGGAUCAAUGACUCUAGGGACCUUUUAACCCUAUAUCCGGAGGUUAUGUAGUAUUAACCUACGAAGUUUCAUACUUGUUAGGUUAAUACGAAAACCCCAAUCAGAUGAGAUCCCUUGGACGUAUUAUUACCUUACAGUAAUAUUUCCAACCUCGAUCUAUGACUCUAAGAACCUUGUUAGAACCUUGAACUCGAGAGUUGCGUAGUAUAAUCCCUAUGGAGCCUUCCUUGUUGGGACAAUACGAAGACCUCUCCUAAGAUGAGAUUAUCUUAGGGGUAUUACUGUCCGACGAGUCUUCGUCACGGCAGUGACGCUUUCAAUGAGAAUCGAUGACUCUGGGAACCAAUUAACUUUGGAGCCUACCCUUGGGAAUUUCAGUAAUCAGAGAAACCUCUACUUCUUCCUUUUAACUUGACGUACACGACGUGUGAAUGAUCUUGAGUAUUUCUAUUCCUUUGCGAAAACAUGGCAAAAUUUCAUGCAUUUGCAUAUCAUAAACAUGCAUUGCAUACCAUCUUCCAGAAACAAAAACUUACACCAUAUUCUACCCUUUGUCCAGUAACACUGACUACUCAACACCGGUACGAGACACGCCGCAACUACAGGAUGACACUCGAACAACUUGAAGCAAACCAGGUUUUAAUGAGGACAAACAUCGACUCCAUGCAAGCGAAGAUGGACCAUUUGCUUGAAACAAUGUUGCUCUUAGCCCAGAAGGAGAAGGAUGCUGAGACUAGCGCCGAUGCCAGAAAAGUUGCUACUCAGUUUGGAUCACCAUCACUUAGCAUCCAUGGAGUGAUUGACCAUGAUGGUAACCUUAAUCAUCUUAAAGGAGGACCGACCCCUAUUCCAUUCCCGAUGGUCAAUGUAAACCCCCAUGAGCAUUCUGCUACAUCUGCUCGACAUGGAUCCAUGAUGGGUGAUGAAGAUCCGUAUGACGCUUUCUUCAUGCCACAACCCGCCAAACCUGUUAUUGGAGGUCUCUUAGACCCAACUGUUGAGAGACUCCAUGCUUUAGAAGAGAAGUUCAAGUCCUUUGAGGUUCACACUACUCUCGGUUUGGACGUCGUUGAUAUGUGCCUAGUGCCAUGACUCGUGAUUCCACAAAAAUUCAAAGUCCCAUACUUUGACAUGUACAAAGGGAUCAGCUGCCCUAGAACUCACCUCAGAGCUUAUUGCCGCAAGAUGGCUGCCCACAUCGGUAAUGAUCAACUCUUGAUUCAUUACUUCCAAGAUAGCCUCAAUGGGGCAUCCUUGGAGUGGUAUAUGCAAUUAGAAAGAGGACAAGUCCAGUCAUGGAGAGACCUUGUUGAAGCCUUCCUUAGGCAUUAUCAAUACAAUAUUGAUCUAGCACCCAAUCGCACCCAGCUGCAAGACAUGACUCAACGCAACAAUGAGUCAUUCAAGGAAUACGCACAACGGUGGAGAGAGCUAGCAGCCCGUGUCCAACCUCCUCUCCUUGAUAAGGAGCUAAUUGAUAUGUUUAUGGGAACUCUUCAUACUCAAUACAUGGAGAAAAUGGUAGGAUCCAGCUUCCCAACUUUUGCUGAGGUUGUCUCCGUGGGAGAACUAAUCGAGAGCCAGAUCAAGAAGGGAAAGCUACCUUGCGCUGCCAAUGCUUCAAGUGGGAUGAAGAAACCUUAUCCUAAUCUCCCAAAGAAGCUAGAAGGCCAGACCAACGCCAUAAUGAGAGGAGGAGGAUAUAUGACGCCUCCGUAUGUUCCUAUGCCUUAUCAUCAGGUUGUCGUUGUCAUCCCGACACCGUAUCAGCCACCAUAUCAGCAACCAUAUCAGCAACAACAUCAGUUGCCGUACCAACAUCCGGCUUACCAACAGCCACACCAGAAUCAACAGCAACGUGCUCCACCGUAGCGUCAACCUAGUCAACAGAGGGCAAGGAGGCCAAAAAGACAUUUCGAUCCUUUGCCAUUGCCUUACAGCAAGAUCCUUCCCUACCUGCUAAAAGAUGGAUCAGUUGUUUUGAAGGAGCUAACACCUGCAACUCCGCCCUACCCACCAGGCUAUGACACCAAUGCUCACUACGAGUAUCAUAUGGGUGCCCCAGGGUACACCGUAGAAAAUUGCAAGGCCUUCAAACACAAGGUCCAAGAUCUGAUUGACAGUCAGGCAGUUACUUUCACGCCAGUUAGGCCAAAUGUUGCAACAAAUCCCAUGCCAGCGCAUGCAGAGCAUAGUGAAGCUCGAAGAUAGAGCUCCCCACCGGCCUGAACAAGCGGAGCACUUCCUAAACGAAGAAUCAAGAGAUGAAGGCCCGUUUCUUUGAAUGAAGGCAAUCAUUAUGCCAUUUUUACCGUUUCGCAUUCUUGUAAUUUGUUCUUGUUUGUCUAAGUAUUGUAUGGCUUUAAACAUUGUUAUUUGUAUUUGGUUCUAUUAAUGGGAUGAUUAUGCAUGUUUUGAAUCAAUCUUUCAUAUUCACUCAUACCAUUUAUUUGCAAAGCACAAAGCACAAACACAUACUUUUCCACUUCACCUUCUUUAUCACACUAUUGUUAGCAAAUGUUGGAAGGAGGAUGACGAAAACAAAAUACUCAUAAUUGGUGAUUGUAUGCUUUUGGAUAAAAUCCUGCUAAUGAUGUACAAGCAUUGUUUCAAAUCUCCAAACACUGGAGAGAUAAGGAGUUAAUCCCUAGUUAACCAUUUCGGGCCUAGAAGUAGGAGUUUCUUUCAGAUCUACAAACCCUUACGCUUAACCUGGGGCAGGGUAGUGUUCAGUUGAUCUGACUACACAUUCGAAUUACAAGAUGAAAUUUCCCAUACAAGGAUCAAUCACAUGAUAUUCUUCGCACACAUCCUGAAGUGUCGAAGGAACCAUACAAAAUCCAAAAUUUAUGUCCGUUAUUCUUUAAUGACUAAUGACUUGGCAGUCACAAUUUUCCAAAAAAAAUCAAAGAAAGAGCUCGCUAAGUCAAACAUCCAAAAAGGAGACUUAGGCAAAAACUAGGGCAAUCCCGAUGGAUUAAAGCUUCAAAAAGCGGUCCAUGCAAAAUUAGGGAUCAAAACAAAGAUCGAGAGAGACAAUGAGAGUCCUCAACAAAACAAAACAAGAUUCAGUGACCACCAUACCCAAAUCAAAGGGUCGCCAACAUCCAUGAAUAGCAAGAUAGGAUGACUGUCAUUUCAAGAAAUCUUACACUGCUGAACCCUCGCAAAAGUAAGUGUGUGUCGAAUUAACUGAACGUAAGAUCGGAGAUCAUCAUGAAGAAGGGGUGGGUUAAAGUAAACUUUGAGCUUUAUAUCCUUUUGUUUCAAUAACCAUGUGCCAAGCCACGUUACAACCUACGAAAGACCUAAUUGAAGUAAGGUUUAUUCUGAAAGCAUACUACAUCAAGGUUGAGUGAGCUGACUCCUAGAGAUUUGCUAAUAUUCUAUUUUCACUAUAUCACUCACACACUAGCUAAAUCGACACCGCGUCUGGACUCAUGGUCCACUCGCCAUACACUGCUACGAUACUCCUAAUGAACGAUUGUUUUUCAAAACUUGCAUGACUAUUGCAUUAAAAUCACCAUUUCUUGGAUAACAAUUCUUAAUUGUCAGUCAGUACUUGACAUCGAGAAAAUUCCAACAAGGGGAAAUUCAAGAGGUACUUGAUAAUUGGUGCUGACACGAAUCAAGACCAUCUCAUAAAUCAGGGGCAUGGCAUCUUUUGAUUAUGUUGACUUAGGAAGCAGUCAGUAUAAGGCAAAUCUCCAGAGCAUUGGUUGACCAGGGAGGAAAAACACUUCAACACUCAGUCCAUCUGGGGCAGGUCCCUCACAGGCUAAUCAGGGAGCGAACCGUUACAAAGAUUUAGGAGCUGAAAAAAACAAACUCAGACCAUGUCAUGGGAUAAUCACUCCUAAAGUUUCCUUUCAAGGAGAAUGCCAUUUGAUACCCUACAGACUGGGGCAAGACAAGUUGCAAGGGGCAAGUUCCCUUCAUAUCUUCAAGUCAGUCAAGAAGAUUGCGUCAGACACUAGUAACUGCUUGAAUUCUCAAUAAAGACGUCGGAAGUCCAUGCUAGUACGACAUCAUAUCUUGACAAGAAUCCUCAUGGCACGUCAAAGGCAUAAUCAUCAUGCGUUGAUCAUGUCGCUAUGCUCAGUAACAUGCCAUCCAUACAUCUCAGCAGAAAAAGUAGAGAUCGCCUCGGGAGCAAAGACACAACGUAUCACAAGAGAUCAAACUUGGGGAACCAAGAGUAUUCGCAUCUACUACGUGUUCAUCACAUCAUCAACUACCGAGUGUCGGGAAGUCAGAUCCUUUCCCCAACCAACAACCCAACCCACAUUGACAGUUACCAGAAAAAACCAAAGUCCACCUUACUAGCAUCCCUCAUAAAAAACAAACACAACCAGCAUUGGUUUCCAGAAAAUACAUCGCCUUUGAAUAAGGGGGGAGGGGGGGGGGGGGGGGGGCAAUCCCAAACAAACCAAUCAUUCUUUGCAUUCAAACAUGCAUCAUAUGCAUCAUCUCAUACAUCUUUGAAUGCAUAUCAUUUAUGCACAAAAACACGAAUCAAAAUCCAAGGUUAAGUCGUAGGCAUCCAGGCCACCAUUUGCACUUAGUUUUCAUCAUCCAUCCAGCAUGAAUCUUCAAGAAUCGGUAACACUUUGUUUUUUCUUUUAGUUGAUUUCUUAAGUUUAUCGCAUUUUAUGAAUUUCUGCUUGUUUUAUGUUGUAUUAGUAGUUCAUCUCUUUUUGUCGCAUUUUAUGCGUUUCUGUGGUAGUGUUGUUUGGUUUCCAGGUCUAACAAUAAGCCUGAAAUAUGCGUACCGGAAGAAUUAAAGUCAAGGACAUCGUGCAAAGCGAGAAAAGGCAAAAACAGGGGGCUGACACGGGUGCCCGUGUCAGCUGACACGACCUGUGUCAGUAUGUGCAGAAUACAGAUUGUGGAAUCCAGAAACCAAGGGGUUGACACGGGUGCCCGUGUCAGCAAGGGCUGAAGAGUUUGAGUUGACAGAGAGCCAACAUGGGCGCCCGUGUCACCUGACACGGUCCGUGUUGGCCAAUUCGCCAUGUUUGCUGAUUUUUAUUGUUUUGAUCCAUGUGUACGUCCGGAGGGCAGUAUGGGUAUUUCACGAUGUUUUUAGUUGAUUGGAAACUAUUUAGUCUGCAUUUUGGUGAAGAGAGAGGACACUUUUGAUCGUACAAGAAAAAGACAGAAAGGAGAAGCGAACUUUCAAGGUGUUUAGAGAAGAAGAGAUCUUCAAGAUCGGAAGAGAUUGAAGAUCAACCUUCAUCAACAACAAAUUGUACUGUCUCUAUUUUGUAAUUUACUAUCUUUGAAUAUUAUGAGAAGUUAAACCCCCCAAUGCUAGGGGGUGUCCCUGAAUUGCUACUGUAUGAACACUUUUUCUAUGUUUUUAUGAUCAUCGAUGUUUUCUUAAUUCAAAUUAUUAUACAACGUUCUUAAAGCUUUAUUUUAUCGGACAAAUGGAAUUUUGAUCUCUGGUUAAGGUUUAGGUCGGACAAACCACCUUAUCGCUUGUUGUGUAAUAAUAUUUCGGUUUAAUCACUUAGGAAUAAGGAUCAAACCGUAGUAACCGUUAAUUCUUGCUCAAUUGCAUAUUUCGUAACGUCAUUUUGAAUAACUAAGGAAUUAGGAUUGAAAUUGACUGUUAAUGGUUUUCGGCUAAGGGAUUAGAUAAAACAAUUCUUGAGAAUCAGUUUUGAAUAAUUACAACGUAGAUGUUAUAUAAUAUGGAAGGAGUGUAGUACAAAGCAAUUCACACAUAUUGCCUUAGCAUGCUUUCUCAUAUCGCUUAACAACUUUUUAUAUGCUUUAUAUAAUUUAUUCUUGUUCUUAUCAUUUUGAAAACAAUCAUUAAACCCCCUAUGAUCUUUUGUUCAAUGGAAUUAUUGUAAAGAUUUGUACUUAUUACGCAGUCCUCAAGAUGAUACUUGGGAUAACUCCCAUUUCAUUACUACAGUGGUGCAAAUAGUACACUUGCUAUUUUACCGAUCAAGUUUUUGGCACCGUUGUCGGGGAUUGCCAAAGUAUAAGUUGAAUAAUAAUUCAAUUGAAAUUUUUUCGCUCAACGACCAAAAUUUUAUUUCUCUGUACUAUUGGUUAUUUUUAUAAAUUCUAAUAAUUGUCUAAUCUGUGCAUGCAAGACGACGAAAAGCUAGACUGGAACAUUUAGAAGCAACCCCCAUUGUUUCUGAGUCUGAAAAAGAAGAAGCUAUUUCAGUUCAUUCGGAACCAAUGGCUGAAGCUCCACCUUCCGUGGAAAUACUUUUGGGUGACUAUGGAGGUGCAAAUGCUCCUACUGGAAGGUUAACAAUUGUGAACCAACCGGUAAAUGUUGAUCAUUUUCAGCUACACCCUUCAACGAUUCGUCAUCUCGAAAGGAGACCGUUCUCCGGAAAAAUCAAUGAAGAUGCCAACAAGCAUUUACAAAGAUUUCUGACCAUGAUGACAUCGUUGAAAAUUGAGGGACACUCAGAGGAAGCUAAAAAGUUGGUGAUGUUUCCGUUUACACUAUCGGAAGAUGCUGAAGAGUGGUGUUACUCUUUACCCGUGGGAAGCAUUACAGCUUGGCAACAAAUGGAGACAACAUUUUUGAAUGAGUACUUCCCUGGUUCUGUGUAUAUCUGUAAGAGAUAUGAUAUUGUUAAUUUCAAAUAGAAGGAAAGAGAGUCACUCAGAGACGCUUACAAGAGGUUCAAGCGAUUGUUGGUUGCAUGUCCUACUCAUAACAUGGAUGCAACUGAAUAGAUGCAAAAUUUUAUGAAUGGCCUUAGAAUGAAGACUAAGUAACUCAUAGACACAGCUGCCGGUGGCUUAACAAAUUUUACAACAACCACUGGAAUAAAGAAAAUCAUUCAAGCCAUUGCAGCAAAUCAGCAUCUGGAGCUCUAUGACCGCAGUGUAAGUCAACCUGAAGGUAUCAUUGAUCUCAAGCUAACAAAUCAAGUUGUGAAGAUGGAAGAUUAAAUAACAGCUGAAGUAGAGAGAAGAAUCAAUAAAAUGGCUCUUGACACUCAAACGGUGGCACAAGUUCAACCGGUUCAACCUAUUUAAACAGUUAGUUGUGAAAUUUGUGGGGGACCGCACUUCGCCAUGCAUUGUGUGGAAACUACACAACAGGUAGAAGAGAUUAAUUUUCUGAAGCAAAAUAACCCUUACUUCAAUACUUAUAAUCCUGGAUGGAAAAAUCAUCCAAAUUUUUCCUGGAAGGACCAACAAGGAAAUGCUCACAAGCAAGUGCCCAGUCAAUAUCAAAGCCAACCGCAACAACAGUAUCGACCACAACAAUAACAACCUUACCAGCAGCAGUUUCACCAAUCCCAACAACAAUUUCAAUAACAGGUUCCAAGAAAAGCAGAUAGGGAAAUUGCCAUUGAAAAAAUGGCGGCUCAAAGUUCACAAUUUCAAGAGGAGACUAGAAGUAAUCUGAGAAACACUGGUGCAUCAAUAAAAAAUCUGGAAGUGCAAAUGAGUCAGAUUGCUCAACAACUCGCGGGUUCUCAAACACUGGGUGCAUUACCGAGUGCUACAAUUAUAAAUCCACGAGAGCAUAAUAAUGUGAGUGUUGUAACCAUAAGAAGUGGUAAAUCAAAAGAAGUCCCUGAGAAAGAUGAUGACCAAGAAGACUAAUUGAUUGAAGUUGAGUUGGAAAUAAAAGAAAAUGAGGUUGUGAGUGAAGAGGUGGUAGUGCCUAAACUGAUGGUUAAAGGAAAAGUUAGUGAACCAAAGUCGGCUGUCAAACUCCCUUUCCCCAUAAGAAAUAAGAAGAAAGAGCAACAUGAGAAGAACUUCGAGAAAUUCUUGGAGAUGUUCAAAAAGCUUGAGAUUAACAUUCCGUUCUUGGAGGCACUUGAACAAAUGCCCUCUUAUGCCAAAUUUAUGAAGGAAAUUAUUUCAAAGAAGAGGAGCGCCGACACUGACCCUAUUGUACUAACCGAAACUUGUAGUGCAAUUUUGCAGGGUAUGAAGAUUCUAGUGAAGAAGAAAGAUCGAGGCUCGGUAACUAUCCCUUGCACUAUCGGGGAUAGGUAUUUAAAAAAGGCCCUUAUAGACUUGGGGGCAAGUGUGAUUCUCAUGUCGUUAUCCAUUUACAAGAGGUUAGGGAUUGGAAAAGUGCAAGAUAGCAAAAUGACACUUCAAUUUGCUGACCACUCUGUGAAGAGACCUUAUGGAGUGGUGGAAGACAUUCUUGUGAAGAUUGAUAAGUUUGUAUUUCCGAUGGACUUUGUCAUCUUAGAAAUGCCGGAAGAUGAAGAGAUACCACUCAUCCUUAGUAGACCAUUUUUGGAGACCGGAAGAUGUUUGAUAGAUAUAGAAGAGGGCACCAUGACUCUAAAAGUUUACGAUGAAGAGUUGAAAAUUGAUUUGCGUAACACCAUGAGAUACAAAGAUGAUGUGGCCACCAGUCAACACAUAGAGGUGAUUGAUCAAAUGGUUCUGCAAGAAAAUCCUUUAGGUGAACCACAAUUGCCCUUGGAGAGAGUUCUAAGUCUAUCAAUUUCUGAAGACAGAUGUGGCCACCAGUCAACACAUAGAGGUGAUUGAUCAAAUGGUUCUGCAAGAAAAUCCUUUAGGUGAACCACAAUUGCCCUUGGAGAGAGUUCUAAGUCUAUCAAUUUCUGAAGACACUCAAGAAGUUGACUAAAAGGAGAGGGAAGUGUUAACUAUGAUGGCAACACAACCACCCUUUAAGGGAUCCCGAUCACUCCGAUGGGAAAACUUGAGGGAACCCCAGUUUGAGGAAAAGAAAGAUGAGACCAAGAAAGUGGAUGAGCUGAAACAAUUGCCGAAAAAUCUCAAGUAUAUUUUUCUAGAUUCUGAAAGGAGAUGCCCGACUAUUAUAAGCUCUAAUCUAAAAGUUUCCCAAGAAGACAAGCUCGUCAAGGUUCUGAAGAAGCAAAAAAGUGAAAUGGGAUGGGCGAUAGAAGACUUGAAGGGGAUUAGCCCUACGGUAUGUAUGCAUAAAAGUCUCAUGGAGGAUGGUCACAAACCAGUGGUGCAACCCCAAAGAAGACUAAAUCCCGCAAUGAAGGAAGUGGUUAGGAAAGAGGUUGUUAAACUAUUAGAUGUUGGGUUAAUUUAUCCCAUAUCGAUAGCUCUUGGUGAGUCAUGUUCAUUGUGGGUUCCGAAGAAAGGAGGGACUACCGUUAUAAAGAAUGAGAAAAAUGAGUUACUCCCUACAAGGACGGUCACGAGGUGGCGUGUUUGCAUCGAUUACAGAAGGUUGAAUUUGGCGACAAGAAAGGAUCACUUUCCUUUACCAUUCAUCGAUCAGAUGUUGGAAAGGUUGGCUGGUCAUGAGUACUAUUGUUCCUUGAUGGAUACUCUGGAUAUAAUCAGAUAGCGGUUGCACCAGAAGAUCAAGAGAAGACAGCUUUUACUUGCCCUAUGGUAUUUUUGCUUACAGAAUAAUUCCAUUCAGGUUUACGUAAUGCACCCGGCCACAUUUCAAAGAUGCAUGACUUCCAUUUUUUGGACAUGCUCGAAAAGCAUAUGGAGGUUCUUCAAUGGAUGACUUCUCGGUAUUUGGUUUCUCUUUUGAUAAUUGUUUAACUAACCUUUCCCUUGUGUUAGAAAGAUGCCAACAGACCAACUUGAUUCUCAACUGGGAGAAGUUCCACUUCAUGGUGUGAGAAGGCAUAGUCUUGGGUCAUGAAAUUUCUCACAAAGGAAUAGAAGUGGACCAAGCCAAGAUCGAGGUAAUAGAAAAGCUACCCCCUCCAAUGAACGAAAAAGGUAUAAGAAGUUUCUUAGGGCAUGCGGGUUUCUACCGUAGGUUCAUAAGAGACUUUUCUAAGAUAGCUAAACCUUUAACUACCCUGUUGGUUAAGGACAAGGCUUUCAUCUUUGAUAAAGAGUGUGUCAUUGCUUUUGAAACUAUAAAAAAUAAAUUGGUGACGGCACCUAUUGUCAUUGCCCCAGAUUGGUCUCUACCUUUUGAGAUCAUGUGUGAUGCGAGUGACAUUGCAGUGGGAGAAGUUCUUGGGCAACAUAGAGAUAAACUGUUGCAUGUCAUAUAUUAUGCUAGUCAUGAUACCUUUUGAGAUCAUGUGUGAUGCGAGUGACAUUGCAGUGGGAGAAGUUCUUGGGCAACAUAGAGAUAAACUGUUGCAUGUCAUAUAUUAUGCUAGUCAUGUUUUGAACCCUGCACAGAUGAACUAUGCGACUACCGAGAAGGAGUUGCUAGCGGUGGUCUAUGCCUUUGAUAAAUUCAGGCAAUAUCUGUUGGGUUCUAGAGUCAUUUUUUAUACUGACCAUGCUGCUUUGAAGUAUUUAUUUUCUAAGCAUGACUCUAAGCCAAGACUGUUGAGAUGGAUCUUACUCCUCCAAGAGUUUGAUUUGGAAAUUCGUGACAAAAGAGGGUGUGAAAAUACUGUGGCAGAUCACCUCUCUCGGAUGUCCCCUAUAGAGGAGAAUGAGGAAAAGCGUCUGAUAAAGGAUGAGUUUGCUGACGAACACAUCCUUGCUGUUAUUGGAAUGCCAUGGUUCACAGACUACGCGAACUAUCUAGUAGGUGGGGUGAUCCCUAGCGAAUUUGACUCUAACAAAAAGAAAAAGUUUGUGCAUGAUUGCAGGUUUUACUUGUGGGAUGACCCAUUCUUGUACAAGAAGCGAAUUUGACUCUAACAAAAAGAAAAAGUUUGUGCAUGAUUGCAGGUUUUACUUGUGGGAUGACCCAUUCUUGUACAAGAAAGGAGUAGAUGGGUUGGUCAGAAGAUGUGUUCCCGAAGAAGAACAAAGAGAUGUCCUGAAAGUAUGCCAUGACUCUGACUAUGGUGGACACUUUAGUGGUGAUAGAACCGCAGCCAAAGUCCUCCAGUCAGGCUUCUACUGGCCUACACUUUUCAAAGAUGCUCAACAAUUAAUCAAAGAGUGCGAUAAGUAUCAAAGGAUGGGAAACAUCUCGAAAAGAAAUCAGAUACCGCAGAACCCCAUGUUGGAAGUUGAACUCUUCGAUGUUUGGGGUAUCGACUUUAUGGGACCAUUUCCACCUUCAUUUGGAAAGAAUUACAUUUUGGGGGCGGUGGAUUAUGUAUCCAAGUGGGUAGAAGCAGUCGCUCUACCAACGAAUGAUGCAAAAGUGGUAGUCAAGUUUCUAAAGGAAAAUAUAUUUGUCAGGUCUGGAGUGCCAAGAGCUCUAAUAAGUGAUAAAGGAACUCAUUUCUUAAAUCACCUAAUGGAGAAGCUACUCUUGAAGUAUAAUGUAAAACAUCGUAUAGCCACUCCGUACCAUCCGCAAACAAGUGGUCAAGUUGAAGUGUCGAAUAGACAGCUGAAACAAAUUCUGGAGAAGACGGUCAACUCAUCUCGCAAAGAUUGGGCAAGUAAGCUUGAUGAUGCGCUUUGGGCAUACCGAACUGCUUUCAAAACACUGAUUGGUAUGUCCCCUUAUCAAUUGGUAUAUGGUAAGGCAUGUCACUUACCCUUAGAACUUGAACACAAAGCUUUGUGGGAUUCAAAAUUCCUUAAUUUCGAUCUUUCGAAAGUGGGAUAAUCUCGAAUACUUCAACUCCAUGAGUUAGAAGAAUUUAGGAACCGAGCAUAUGAAAAUGCCAAGAUCUACAAAGAUCAAACAAAGAAGUGGCAUGAUAGAAGGAUCCAAAGGAAGGAAUUUUGGAAAGGACAAAUGGUACUAUUGUUUAAUUCGAGGAUGAAGUUGUUCUCGGGAAAACUGAGAUCGAAAUGGUCGGGUCCGUUUAUGGUACACAAGGUAUAUCCUCAUGGAGCAAUCGAACUAAAAAAUCCUUCCAAUGGGGACAUUUUUAAAGUGAAUGGCCAAAGAUUGAAGCCUUACAAUGUGGAGCACGAAGUUGGUCAAAUUGAUGUUGUUCAUCUUGUCUGAUAAGAUGAACAACCGUCGAGCCAUGCGACGUUAAACGAAGCGCUACGUGGGAGGCAACCCACGCUUUUGUGUCUAAUUACUUUCUUUGUUUUGUUGUGUGUUAUUGAAUUGCAGGUUAGAACAAUGUUUGCUAGAGGAGCCAAAAGUUCGUGUGCCAAAAGUCUCUGGAAAAAUUGGAAGCAGAAGCCUGACACAAUCACGAGAAAACAGUGAAGGAAAAAGAAAAAUCGGGGGCCUGACACGGGUGCCCGUGUCAGCAUGUGAUUAGAGAAAGGUGGUUUCCAGGGGCUUGACACGGGUGGCCGUGUCAGCCCCUGAGUGAACAAGUUGGAAAGAGGAAGGACACGACCGGUGUCAUGGAGGUCCUUAGCGCGGACACGGCCUCCCGUGUCAGCAAGCGUGUUGGGAAAAUUUUCAAAAAUUUUGACCGUUGGCAAUUGGGCCCACCACCGAAUUUCCCCCGCUAAAUCCAUUUUAUCACCCAUUCACUCCUCAUUAACCUCUUCUCUUACCUAUUCUCUCACCUUCAUCUCUCUUUCUCUCAAAAAUACCUAAAAACCUCCAUUUUUCUUCACAUAAAGCUCCAUCCUUUCACCUCAUAACUCCAUCAAAUCUCCAUCCGUCAAAAAAUACCUAAAAACCUCCAUUUUUCUUCACAUAAAGCUCCAUCCUUUCACCUCAUAACUCCAUCAAAUCUCCAUCCGUCUUCACAAAAGUUCUUCCAUUUUCCAUCCUCUACCUUCCUACGGUAACAUUUUUGCCUAAUCUCUCUUUUCAAUUUCAAGUUUCUUUUUGUUGUGUGCAGGUAAGAACAUCUCUCGGCGAGUAGACAUAAGCAAAAAUGUGGCGGAAUCAUCCUGGCCACGUCAAAGGGCGAGAAGGACUCUGAAUGAGCACGACAUUAUGUUUGAAAACUUGGAGCACCAAAAGAGGUAUACGGUUCAUCUUAAAAGAAAAUUAACCCCCACCAGAUACAUGUGUAAUGGCACUUUGCAGGAACUGGGAUUGCAAGCGGAAGUUCACCAAAUGUUCCACACCUUAGGUAUGUUGGAAUUCAUGCAGUUAGAAGCGCCAACUUUUGUGCGCAUUACUCUUGAAUUCUUGAGUACCAUUGAAUUUAAGCUGAAAAAUCGGUGGAAUGGAACGGAGAAAGAGUACUACGGUACUCUGCAUUUUCGUUUAUUUAAUACUUAUAUGGAAUUGUAUGUGGAUGAGUUAGGGAGUAUCCUAAAACUCCCAAUCAUAGGCCCUUGAAUGGUGCCCGAUACUUUUGUUCUGGCGGAAUUCUGGACCGCUAUAACAGGUAACACUAAGUAUGUCUCCAAAGAGGCAAAAGCAUCGGGUAUCCAUAACCCUUGUUUCAGGUACGCGCAGAAGGCUUUGGCAUACACCAUGUUUGUUCGCGGUGAUAGCAUCGGUGUCACCACCCAAAGGGAGUUGUUCUUUCUAUACAGUAUGGCAGCACAAACUCCUAUCAACGUAGCAGCAUUUGCAACUGACUACCUAGGUAGCGUUGGUCGCGCUACUUCAGGCGACAUUUCGGUUGGCGGAAUGAUCACACAGAUUGCCGACCAUUUUGGAUUUGGUGUUGCGCUUGCUGACUCUCCACAGGUGCUGGGUAAAAAUAAACUGGACAUGGCCGCGUUGAUUCAACAAGGCAUGAUUGAGGUGACACAAGAUUACUAUUCUCUUAUCUGCCAAAAAUUCCAUGUUCUUGCUUUACCCGCUUAUGAUUUCAUCAGUAUUACUAACAAAGCCAACUGGCUUUAUGAGUGUCCUGACCUGGAUGAGGGGGACGGAGAUUUUCUUGAUUCUUUGCCUGCAUAUGAACAUAUGGAGGGUGCACCGAGCACGGAGGAGUCGUUUACCAACAACCACUGGAAUCGACUCAAGCUUCAAGGUCCUACUCCAUGCCACAAGACCAAUGGGGUUGGAUUCAAGAUGAGAUCGGUCACCUUCGCACGGAGCAAUCUAGGCAAGGUGAGGAGCUCACCAGGUUCGGAGUCGAACAACUCCGCCAAGGGACGGUUUUGGAUGAGAUGAAUGCGAUGAUGCAAUGCAUGAUGUUGCAUUAUCCGUACUCGCCCCCACCUCCUCAUUAAAAAUUGUGAGUACCCCUCUUAUCUUAAUAAUAAACAUUGCGGACAAUGUUUGGUUCAAGUGUGUGUGUGGGGGAGGGGUAUUGUUUUGUAUUUUAUUUUAGUUGUGUUUGUUUGCUUUGUUACUUUGUUUUGUCUUUGUGUGUCUGUUUUAUUUCCUUAAGUUAUAGAUAAAAGUGGAUUCUACUAGAUAAAUGAUGGACUAGUGACCAGUGAGGGAAAGAUGCAACCCCGGAUUUGCUCCCGAGGCAACUUGGAAGUUGAUACAACUGAGAAAGAAAAUGUUGGACGUAACUUGGAAACUCUAGACCGAAAGAGGGGAGGGUAAACCCAAGCUGAAAAGGAAGUUGUUUGUCAUAAAGAGUGGUUUGGAGCCUGCAAGCUUAUCCAACAUGGUGAGAUUUCAACAUAACCAAACACAAAAGAGCGCAUUCAGGUAUGACUUUAUCUCUCUAAUUUUGCGUAAGUUCAGCCUGCAAGCUUAUCCAACAUGGUGAGAUUUCAACAUAACCAAACACAAAAGAGCGCAUUCAGGUAUGACUUUAUCUCUCUAAUUUUGCGUAAGUUCUACUGAUACAGCACAAUACAAAGACGCACAAUGAGGCGCGUUGUUUAUUUUCACCCUUUAGCCUUUCUAGCAAUCCAUAUUGUUAUAUUUAUCCUUUGUUAAACCUGUUGAGCAUGUACCCCGUUGUUUGUGAAAACCGUCAUGUUAACCUAAGCCAAACACUUCCUACCUUCACUCGGCAUGACUGUUGUAGUGUAAAAUUCGUGCAAAAAGAUAAGUUUGGGGUGGUGAUCCUUAGAAAAAGUUGAAAAAGGGAAAGUGCAACAAAAAGAAGAAAAAAAGUGUGUAGAAACAUCCGCUUCUACCGAAAAAAAAAGAGAAAAGAAAUGAAAAAUAGAAGUGAAGUAUAAGCACUUGCCUAAUUCAAAGACUCAUGAAUUAAUGUGAUACUCAAAAGAAAAAUUGAGUGGAAAAGAGUCAAGUUGGACAAAACCCCAUAAACUAAUUUGUGCACAAAGAAAAGAAACAACAUGAAUGCCGAGUUCUAAACCUUUGUCAUCCAUUUUCUUGUCUACCCCCACCGUACCUAAGCCCCGUUACAACCCGAAAGACCUCUCAAAGUGUGUGAAUUUGGUUUGUGUAGUUAACGUAGAAUCUAUUCAAAAAAUAAGAGUUGAUAUUGCAUACCUUGAUAUCAUGAGUGCUAAACACUUUAACCCCGAGAUAUUUGGUGAGUGGUGUGAAGAAGUUUGCAGGUGAAGGAACACUCUGAUACGAUAAUACAGUGGAUAGUUCGAAUGGGUGAACCAGAAGCUUAAUCGGGAAGGAGGAAGAUAAGUUGUGAAUACCAUCAGCCGUAUUAUGGAAAGAAGAAAAUCCAUGGUUGACCUCUGUGUUGUCUCUUACAUCACUUGAGGACAAGCAAUGAGAUAAGUUUGGGGUUGUGAUCGGUCACCAUUUGCACUUAGUUUUCAUCAUCCAUACAACAUUAAUCUUCAAGAAUCAGUAACAAUUUGUUCUUUCUUUUAGUUGAUUUCUUAAGUUUAUCGCAUUUUAUAAAUUUCUGCUUGUUUUAUGUAUUAGUAGUUCAUCUUUUUUUAUCGCAUUUUAUGCAUUUCCGUGAUAGUGUUGUUUGGUUUACAGGUCUAACAAUAAGCCCGAAAGAUGCGUAGCGGAAGAAUGGAAGUCAAGGACAUCGUGCAAAGCGAGAAAAGGCAAAAAUAGGGGGCUGACACGGGUGUCCGUGUCAGCUGACACGACCCGUGUCAGCAUGUGCAAAAUACAGAUUAUGGAAUCCAGAAACCAGGGGGCUGACACGGGUGCCCGUGUCAGCUGACACGGGUGCCCGUGUCAGCUGACACGGCCCAUGUCAGCAAGGGCAGAAGAAUUUGAGUUGACAGAGAGCCAACACGGGCGCCCGAUGUCAGCUGACACGGGUGCCCGUGUCAGCUGACACGGCCCAUGUCAGCAAGGGCAGAAGAAUUUGAGUUGACAGAGAGCCAACACGGGCGCCCGUGUCACCUGACACGACCCGUGUUGGCCAAUUUGCCCCGUUUGCUGAUUUUUAUUGUUUUGAUCCCCGUGUACGUCCGGAGGGCAGUCUGGGUAUUUCACGAUGUUUUUAGUUGAUUGGAAACUAUUUAGUCUGCAUUUUGGUGAAGAGAGAGGACACUUUUGAUCGUACAAGAAAAAGACAGAAAGGAGAAGCGAGCUUUCAAGGUGUUUAGAGAAGAAGAUAUCUUCAAGAUCGGAAGAGAUUGAAGAUCAACCUUCAUCAAUAACAAAUUGUAAUGUCUCUAUUUUGUAAUUUACUGUCUUUGAAUAUUAUGAGAAGCUAAACCCCCAAAUGCUAGGGGGUGUCCCUGAAUUGCUAUUGUAUGAACACUUUUUCUAUGUUUUUAUGAUCAUCGAUGUUUUCUUAAUUCAAAUUAUUAUACAACGUUCAUAAUGCUUUAUUUUAUCGGACAAAUGGAAUUUUGAUCUCUGGUUAAGGUUUAGGUCGAACAAACCACCUUAUCGCUUGUUGUGUAAUAAUACUUCGGUUUAAUCACUUAGGAAUAAGGAUCAAACCGUAGUAGCCAUUAAUUCUUGCUUAAUUGCAUAUUUCGUAACGUCAUUUUGAAUAACUAAGGAAUUAGGAUUGAAAUUGACUGUUAAUGGUUUUUGGCUAAGGGAUUAGUGAAAACAAUUCUUGAGAAUCGGGUUUGAAUAAUUACAAUGUAGAUGUUAUAUAAUAUGGAAGGAGUGUAGUACAAAGCAAUUCACACAUCUUGCCUUAGCAUGCUUUCUCAUAUCGUUUAACAGCUUUUUAUACGCUUUAUAUAAUUUAUUCUCGUUCUUCUCGUUUUGAAAACAAUCAUCAAACCCCCUAUGAUCUUUUGUUCAAUGUAAUUAUUGUAAAGAUUUGUACUUAUUACGCAGUCCUCGAGAUCGAUACUCGGGAUAACUCUCAUUUCAUUACUACAUUGGUGCAAAUAGUACACUUGCUAUUUUACCGAUCACCAACCCUCAGUUGAGUCAUUGUUUUCCUCUGAGAGAGUCCCUACCCUAUUAUCGGGCGUUUCCCAUUAAGUUACAUCUUUCAACCUUUUGUUGAUAAGACGUUAUCCUUAGCUAAGCCAAACAUUGUUUCUUUAAACACUUACCUUGUUUCGCGUUGAGUAUCCCUCAAUGAGUCGUUUCCUGUAACCUUUUGUUGAUGGAAGCCUCAUCUUCCAAUAGAAUAUUAGUUCUGCAACCUUUUGUUGGUUAUACCCCGAGCAAGUCUUACCCAGUAAUGUUCCAAUACUACCCAACAAGUCGGGUUUAUUGAAUGUUGACAAUAGCCUUAUUUUUCCAAAUAUUUUUCCCACUAUCAUCCUUUUGAUGAAAGUCCAUUGAGGAAUAAUACUAAUCAUCACCCUGUUUACGAUAACCGUUAUCCUUUUGGUAAUGGUAAAUCCUUGACAUUCGUGAUCUUACCGUCAUCCUUUUGGUGUCGGCGAUCCUUGAAGUUUUGUCCCAACCUUCAUCCUUUUGGUGAAUGGCGACCUCUGCAACUAUUAUAGCCCACCGUCAUCCUUUUAGUGUCGGUAAUCCUUGUCAUUUUGGUUCAACCAUCAUCUUUUUGGUGAUGACGUCCAGUUCAAUCUAAAUAUUAUCCUUUUUGUGAUAGAGAUUAUGGAGUCUGGUUUAGGCUAUCGUCCUUUUGGUGAUUGUGACCUAGGGAAAGUCCAAUCCCACUGUCAUCCUUUUGGUGUCAGCAAUAUUUGAAGUUAUUAUAACUUACUAUCAUCCUUUUGGUGGUAACAAGUUCCGAAGUUAUGACCUCACCUUCAUCCUUUUGGUGAUGGUGAUUGUUGAUUCAUUAUCAUCCUUUUGGUGAUAACGAGUCCUGUUGUUUGUAGUACCUUCAUCCUUUUGGUGAUGGUGACCAUCGACUUAUUAUCAUCCUUUUGGUGAUAACAAGUUUUGUUGUUCAAUCCUACCUUCAUCCUUUUGGUAACGGUGAUCAGUAAAAGUUAUUGACUUAUUAUCAUCCUUUGAUGGUAAAGAGUUUUGUUGUUUAAUCUUACCUUCAUCCUUUUGGUGAUGGUGAUUGUUUUGACUUAUUAUCAUCCUUUUGGCGAUAACAAGUUUUGAAGUUUUGUUCUUACCUUUAUCCUUUUGGUGAUGGUUAUCAUUUAAGUUGUCGUGACUUAUUAUCAUCCUUUUGGUGGUAACAAGUUUUGUUGUUUGAUAAUACCUUCAUCCUUUGGUGAUGGUGAUUGUCAUGACUUAUUAUCAUCCUUUUGGUGGUAACUAGUUCUGUUACUAAUCUUACUGUCAUCCUUUUGGUGUCAGUGAUAUUCGAAGUUAUAUUGAUUUAUUAUCAUCCUUUUGGUGGUAACAAGUUUUGUCUUGAUUUUACUUUCAUCCUUUUGGUGAUGGUAAUCAUUUAAAUUGUUGUAAUUUAUUAUCAUCCUUUUGGUGAUAACGAGUUUUGUUGUUUGUAGUACCUUCAUCCUUUUGGUGAUGGUGACUGUCGACUUAUUAUCAUCCUUUUGGUGAUAACAAGUUUUGAAAUUUUGUUCUUACCUUCAUCCUUUUGGUGACGGUGGUCAUUUAAGUUAUUAUGACUUAUUAUCAUCCUUUUGGUGAUAACGAGUUUUGUUAUUGGUUCCACCUUCAUCCUUUUGGUGAUGGUGAUUGUUGACUUAUUAUCAUCCUUUUGAAGAUAACAAGUUUUGUUUGGGUCUUACCCUCAUCCUUUUGGUGAUGGUGAUCAUUGAAGUUAUUUGACUUAUUAUCAUCCUUUUGGUGAUAACAAGUUUUGUUGUGGGAUCUUACCUUCAUCCUUUUGGUGACGGUGAUCUUUGAAGUUGAUGAGUACCUUUUGGUGAUGGUGAUCAUUGAAGUUAUUUGACUUAUUAUCAUCCUUUUGGUGAUAACAAGUUUUGUUGUGGGAUCUUACCUUCAUCCUUUUGGUGACGGUGAUCUUUGAAGUUGAUGAGUUAACCAUCAUCCUUUUGGUGGUAGCCUUGAUAUUAUACUUUUGGGAAUGGAAAGCUUUAUCAGAAUGUCAUCAUCCUUUUGAUGAUGGACGUCAUCCUUUUGGUGAUAAAAAUCUUUGAAUUUUAUUAUGUCAGACUUUCAUCCUUUUUGGUGACAGCAAGUUUGGUUAUUAAUCUUACCAUCAUCCUUCUGAUGAUGACUACCUCUAAAGCUUGGUUUAUCCAUCACCCUUUUAGUGAUGACAAUUAAUUCUACUGUCAUCCUUUUGGUGCCAGAAAACUCGUUCAGUUUUCGCUCUCACAUCAGAAACGACCUUUGCAAGAUUUAAAUGUCGACUCGAGGGUUGGCAUUGAUUUGACGUUCUACCCCAAUACCUUGGUGCUAUUAGAACUCGUUGCAUUUUCUCUCUGCAUUUCUCCAUUGCAUCUCAAAGGACAAAAUUCGGGUCUUUUCGUAUUUAAUUACCUUCCACCACGAACGUAUGAAGACUGUCGUCAUUCUUACCUUCUAGUUCAAGUUAAUUAAAUAGGGGCAACUGUCAUACCCCAAUUUUAUCCGGGCAUUUUUAAAUAUCAGUCAGAAUAGAAUAUUGAAAAUACAGACAAAUUGGUUAAAUCGUUUCUCAAGUACGUGCAAAAUCAGCGGGUAAAAAGUUUCAAAAUUAAAAUUACAGACGCCAGUAUCAUUAACCUAUGGUUCACGUAGUUUAACCUGGUGUGCUCGUUGUAUUUUUCAGGGACUGUUUCGGCUGCGUUUUGACCCGCCUAAGCCUUUUAACCGGUGAAAAUUUAUUUUAGAAUUUGAAGAAACGCUGUAUUUUUUCAAUAAGUGUAUUCUGUGCUGAUCAUUUUGGUGCACCCGAUUUAAUUUUUCGAGCAAAUUUUCGCCCGACUUUUUUGCAUAAUCAAUCAUUUUAUUUUUAUCCUUUCGCCAAAACAUUCAGAAAAUUGAAAUUUCCAUGUCUUCAUUUUAUUUUUACCAUAUUCAUUUUAGAAGUUGUGGAUUUUUAUUUGAUUUCAUUGAUCUAAAUUGUUUUAAGUCAAUUGAACCAUCUAGAAGGGGCACCUUUGAUAUUCUUAGAAUUAGUUAGCAUUUGUGUUUCUUUGGUUUAAUCUCGAUCGUUAAAUCGAGACUAAUCAAAGGUCUAUAAUAGUUAUCCAUGUGUGUUUCUAUUUACCAAUAAUAAAAUCAAAUAAUAUUAAUAUUAAUAAUAAAGAGAAAAAAUCCAUUUAUGGUUGUGUAAAUAAGGAUAGGUGGCUCUUUUUUCUCAAAUUUAGAAAAAAGAGAAAUGCUGAAAAUACUACCCUUUAGGAUUUUUUUCGGUGGCCUCUCGGAUCACUCUCAAACAAAAUUCAUAACAACUCAUUAUUGGCCAGGAGAAAAUGAGUUGUCUCCACUCAUAGCUGGAAAAGGAAUCCACUCUCUUUCUCUCUCUCAAAAGAGAACUCUGAAAAGAAAGAAAAAAAGAAUAGAUAUAUCUCAACGAGUACACAAAAGGAAAAAAAAAUCUCAUUCUGAAAAAAGACGUUACAUCCAUUUAAAUUUCUCUCUCUCACCACUCAUAAAAGAACUACCCAUUCACCUAACUUUCGGACUCUCUCUCACGGGUUCCUCACGUUACAAAAAGAUAAAAGGAAAAAAGAAAUUCAAAAAGGACUGACAAAAAACUCUCUCACCUGAUACCAUUCCUUCUCUCUCAUAAUAACCCUCUCUCUCUCUGACUUCCAAAAGGCAACCAAAAAAGAAAAAAGAAAUUGAGAGGAAUCUUCCUCUUCUUCGGAAUCUCAUCACUCUUCACCACCGGACCGCCUUCAACAACCUCCGUCGUCGAAAACCUCACAGCCAUAACUGCGCCCCCCUUCACCCUCCUUCAAACUCUCCGCUGGCGAAAAACAGAAACACCGCGAUCCUCUUUUUCAACACCGUCCAAACCCUUCGUCUUCGUCACAACCACACACCGCCAUCUCCACCGUCCAAAUCCCAUCUCCGUCUUCACUCAACUCACAACCGCAACCAACCAACAACACCGUGAAACCGUUUUUACGAAACGAAACUCAAUGAAUCUCCUUCCUCACGAAAUCACCGCCGCCACCUUCGACAUCUUACUGCCAUCCACAAUAAACCCUCACAACCGCCUCCGUUCCCCUCCCACACUUCCUUCGUGGCCACCGCAAAAGCCACCACGCGUCUUCUCCUUCACAUUCACGGACGUCUUCUCCUUCCGAUGUCGGAUUCAAACGCAACCAACCAGCCGCUCUACAACAAUAAGAGGAGCAUAGCACCAAAGGAAAUAAUGUAGAAGGAUGGGUCUAGCCGCACUCCGUUUCCAUUAUAAUUUCAAGUUCAUUUCUGACGAACUCACAGUCCUUCCAAUCACCACAAGGUCGUCGAACCCAUACGUAUAUCACUGUAAAUCUCAUGUUGAUUGGUUUAUUAUUGCUUUUGUUUUUUCCAAUUGGAGUAAGGUAGAGAUUAAAUCGAGGAUGCAAGGGUUUGUUUCAUCGGUCUUAAAGAUGAAAAAUAAUGUUCUGCAUUUUUAAAGAACGAAAGAAAGCAUAGUGGAAAUUUCUAACUUAUUAUGAGCCUUGAUUUUCCUAAUGGUAAUGUAAAAGUUAAACUGGAUUUUUACGUUUUGUUACUUGUUUGUUUGACUGAACUUUUUUUUAAUUAUUAUUACAUGACAAUAGAAUUAGUAUUUUGGUUGUAGAAAGAGUUGUCUGCAUAUAAUUCAUUAUGGGCUUGGUUUUCUUUUUAUCCAGGAAAAUUUUAGAUUGGAUCGAUAAUGCUUAAUAGUGUACAUUGAAUUCUUUCUUAAAUCACGUUUGGAAGGGUCCUGCAACUCUUUUUGUUUAUUUCAAACUUGGACAUCAUUGGUUUUAAAUGGUACUUUGUUUUAAUUAAUUGUAUUAGUAUCCCUUGUUCUAACUAAUUUAUUAGUUCACAACGUUACAACCAUUUUUCUCAAAUACAUGGUUGGUUCUACUAUUAAAAUUUAAAUUAGAUUAUUAAUUGCCUAAUGGAUUUUAUAGUGUAUAUGUAUAAAUCUGCUCCAAUCAUAUGGCGUUGUUGUUAACAUUCAGUUAAUAUGUUGUGUAUAACCUUGGGUG